rnacentral:rRNA from 1 species
ACGGAGGGUCCAAGCGUUAUCCGGAUUCAUUGGGUUUAAAGGGUGCGCAGGCGGAACGAUAAGUCAGUGGUGAAAUCCUACAGCUCAACUGUAGAACUGCCAUUGAAACUGUCGAUCUUGAGUAUAGUUGAAGUGGGCGGAAUGUAUCAUGUAGCGGUGAAAUGCAUAGAUAUGAUACAGAACUCCGAUAGCGAAGGCAGCUCACUAACCUAUAACUGACGCUCAGGCACGAAAGCGUGGGGAGCAAACAGG